UAAAUAGGUACAGGAGUUGCAUGGCUGUCGUCAGCCCGUGGUUCAAACCGGUCUAACUUGUUAGACGAACGGGCACAAACCUUACCUAAAGAUUGUUUUUACACUUUAGGUUGCUUUUUAAAGCAUUUAGGAUCACGUCAAGUCCUCAUGGCCCAUAUGGAAUGGGCUACACGUGUGUUACAAAGGUUAUGCACAAAAACUUUAAAUUAAACCUAACCUCAGUUCAGAUGGUUUUCUGAAACUCGGAAACCUGAAGAUGGAAUUACCAGUAAUCGUAGAUUAGCAUGCUACGGUGAAACUUAUUUCUUUACCCAGGGUACUCACCGCCCGUCACGUUCUGAAAAUUUUAUAAACUGGAAAAUAAAAUUAAUUUUUAACAUAUUAAAAGAAAAUUUUAAAUUUCUACAACUUAACUAUUUUAAUAUAAAACUAAGAAUUUUAUUGUAAGUUUGUGAAGUAAUUGGAAUAAAGUCGUAACAAGGUUGCUGUACGGGAACGUGUAGCAGGAACGAAUUUU
rnacentral:rRNA from 1 species